AUAUGCCGCAUUAGCAAGCUUCAGUUUCAGCUUAGCGCCGCUGCUAUUAGAGAUGACCUCUGCUGUCUGCCAAAGGACAACAUGAGACUCAGACAGAGACCGGGAGGGAACAGGAGACGAGAGCAGGGUUUGAUAUUAGCAGGACAUGGCAGAGCUCUAAAAUUACUCUAGAGUUCACCAUCUAAAAUGAUCAUCCAGAUUUGCAGGAUUAGCUCAAGCGCUGCAAUUAACACGCCUCCAUAACAACAGGAGGCAAUACGCUGCACCUAACACACAUGCACCAGUCUGCAAAUUCCCAACUAGCCCUCAGUUUUUGCAGCACACACAGGAUGGGGGUUUGGUGCCUGGUGUGUGUGUGUAAGUUGGAGGGACUGAAAGCAAUGGAUUGGUGGGCAGCGGGCAGAAGGUGGAAAUAGGGAAAGGAGAAGUGCAGUGUUCAUGUCUUCGUUUCACUAAGCUCUCCGCUGAGAUCUGCCGGACCCCCAGCCAGGAUGAAGGACACAAAGAUCCCCUCGCCAUCCUCGCCGCCCACGAUGUUGAAGCCCAGGCCGGUGGAGCCUUUGUGCAGCACGAUCUUCCUGGGUUCCCUGUACAUACAGAAUCUGUGGACUGUGACUGCACAUAUAUUUCUCCUUCUGGCCCCCAACAAAAAAAGUUUGGACACACCUGUUCUAAAAGUUUGUUCACUUGCCCUGAUAAAUGCCGUCUACUGCAGUAAAGUUCUGGAUUGUGGCUGUGAUAACUCAAAACAACAUUAAACUCUCUCUCUCUCUCUC